AUUGAACGCUGGCGGCAUGCUUUACACAUGCAAGUCGAACGGCAGCGCGGGCUUCGGCCUGGCGGCGAGUGGCGAACGGGUGAGUAAUGCAUCGGAACGUGCCCAGUAGCGGGGGAUAGCCCGGCGAAAGCCGGAUUAAUACCGCAUACGACCUGAGGGUGAAAGCGGGGGACCGAAAGGCCUCGCGCUAUUGGAGCGGCCGAUGUCGGAUUAGCUAGUUGGUGGGGUAAAGGCUUACCAAGGCGACGAUCCGUAGCUGGUCUGAGAGGACGACCAGCCACACUGGGACUGAGACACGGCCCAGACUCCUACGGGAGGCAGCAGUGGGGAAUUUUGGACAAUGGGGCAACCCUGAUCCAGCCAUGCCGCGUGCGGGAAGAAGGCCUUCGGGUUGUAAACCGCUUUUGUUCGGGAAGAAAUCCUCUGGGCUAAUACCCCGGGGGGAUGACGGUACCGGAAGAAUAAGCACCGGCUAACUACGUG
rnacentral:rRNA from 1 species